GAGCACGAGGAAUUCUGCGUGAACCAGCCGGGACCAUCCGGUAAGGCUAAAUACUCCCGAGAGACCGAUAGUGAACCAGUACUGUGAAGGAAAGGUGAAAAGCACUUCGAACAGAAGAGUGAAAUAGUUCCUGAAACCAUGCGCCUACAAGCGGUCGGAGCUCUUACGAGUGACGGCGUGCCUUUUGCAUAAUGAACCUACGAGUUACUUUUUCCGGCAAGGUUAAGGGUCUUGAGACCUGCAGCCGAAGCGAAAGCGAGUCUUAACAGGGCGUUCAGUCGGAAGGAGUAGACGCGAAACCAAGUGAUCUACCCUUGGGCAGGUUGAAGGAUGGGUAACACCAUCUGGAGGACCGAACCAAUAAGCGUUGAAAAGCUUCUGGAUGACCUGAGGGUGGGGGUGAAAGGCUAAUCAAACUUGGAGAUAGCUCGUACUCCCCGAAAUGCAUUUAGGUGCAGCCUUGACUUAUACUGGCAUGAGGUAGAGCGACUGAUAAGAUGCGAGGGCUUCACCGCCUAUCAAGUCUUGACAAACUCCGAAUGCGUGUCAGUUCUAUGUCAGGAGUGAGGGCAUGGGUGCUAAGGUCCAUGUCCUAAAGGAGAACAAUCCGGACCAACAGCUAAGGUCCCGAAAUGAAUACUAAGUUGAACUAACGAAGUCAGAUUGCUAAGACAGCUAGGAUGUUGGCUUGGAAGCAGCCAUUCAUUUAAAGAGUGCGUAACAGCUCACUAGUCGAGGAGUUUGGCGUGGAUAAUAAUCGGGCAUAAGUAUUCUACCGAAGCUUUGGGAUGAGAAAUCAUCGGUAGGGGAGCAUUCCACUCGGCGUCGAAGGUGAAGCGCGAGCUUUGCUGGAGCGUGUGGAAAAGCAAAUGUAGGUAUAAGUAACGAUAAAGGGGGUGGGAAACCCCCUCGCCGAAAGACUAAGGUUUCCUGAUCAACGCUAAUCGGAUCAGGGUAAGUCGGGUCCUAAGGCUCAGCCGAACGGCGAGGCCGAUGGCAGAACCGGUUAAUAUUCCGGUACUACCUGUGGGAGUGACGUGGAGACGGAGUCGUGACAGCGCCGCGGACUGACGGAAUAGUCCGUUGAAGGGUGUAGAUGCUGAUUGUUCCAGGCAAAUCCGGAGCAAGAGUCGAACCUGAUAGUAUGGAGCGUUCUUAGAACAAUCCAAUAGUGCGUGUAAUCAUACUUCCAAGAAAAUCCGCUAAACUUAAUCCUGCAGGUACCCGUACCGCAAACGGACACACGUAGUCGGGUUGAAUAUACUAAGGCGCUUGAGUGAUUCACGGUUAAGGAACUAGGCAAACUGACCCUGUAACUUCGGGAUAAAGGGUCCUCGCUUAACGGCGAGGCGCAGAGAAUAGGUCCAGGCAACUGUUUAACAAAAACACAGGGCUGUGCAAAAUUGAAAGAUGAAGUAUACAGCCUGACACCUGCCCGGUGCUGGAAGGUUAAGAGGAGAUGUCAUCGCAAGAGAAGCAUUGAAUUGAAGCCCCAGUAAACGGCGGCCGUAACUAUAACGGUCCUAAGGUAGCGAAAUUCCUUGUCGGGUAAGUUCCGACCUGCACGAAUGGUGUAAUGAUCUGGACGCUGUCUCAACCGUGAGCUCAGUGAAAUUGUAGUAUCGGUGAAGAUGCCGAUUACCCGCGAUGGGACGAAAAGACCCCGUGAACCUUUACUAUAGCUUAACAUUGAAUUUGGGUAAUUGAUGUGUAGGAUAGGCCGGAGGCUUCGAAGCAGGUACGCCAGUAUUUGUGGAGCCGCUGUUGAAAUACGGCCCUUUGAUUAUUUGAGUUCUAACCCGUUGAUGCGGGGACACUGUUUGGUGGGUAGUUUGACUGGGGUGGUCGCCUCCAAAAGUGUAACGGAGGCUUCUAAAGGUGCCCUCACGACGAUUGGUAACCGUCGGCAGAGUGUAAUGGCAUAAGGGCGCUUGACUGGGAGACUUACAAGUCGAUCAGGUAGGAAACUAGAGCAUAGUGAUCCGGUGUUUCUGUAUGGAAAGGACAUCGCUCAAAGGAUAAAAGGUACUCCGGGGAUAACAGGCUGAUCCCUCCCAAGAGCUCAUAUCGACGGAGGGGUUUGGCACCUCGAUGUCGGCUCGUCACAUCCUGGGGCUGGAGAAGGUCCCAAGGGUUGGGCUGUUCGCCCAUUAAAGUGGCACGCGAGCUGGGUUCAGAACGUCGUGAGACAGUUCGGUCUCUAUCUAUCGUGGGCG
rnacentral:rRNA from 1 species